UUUAUGGACGUGAACAUGAGGAAUUUCUA
rnacentral:piRNA from 1 species